rnacentral:rRNA from 1 species
GACGAACGCUGGCGGCGUGCUUAACACAUGCAAGUCGAACGAAAAGGCCCUGCUUUUGUUGGUUGCUCGAUUGGCGAACGGGUGAGUAACACGUGUGUAACCUGCCCUUGACUUUGUGAUAUCUUCUGGAAACUGGGGCUAUUACCGGAUAGGAUCUCCUGCUGCAUGGUGGUGGUUGGAAAGUUUCGGCGGUUGUGGCUGGACUCGCUGCUUAUCAGCUUGUUAGUGUGGUAGUUGCUUACCAAGGCUUUGACGGGUAGCCGGCCUGAGAGGGUUACCGGGGACAUUGGGACUGAGAGACGGCCCAGACUCCUACGGGAGGCAGCAGUGGGGAACAUUGCACAAUGGGCGGAAGCGUGAUGCAGCAACGCCGCGUGCGGGAUGACGGCCUACGGGUUGUAAACAGCUUUGGACUGAGACGAAGAGUGAGUGACGGUAAUGGGUAAAGAAGCACCGGCUAACUACGUG